AUUUAUUUGGCAGAUCAGUGCAUUAGAAUUAGAAUCUAAUUAAACUAAAAUUACCUUUUUAAUUAACU
rnacentral:tRNA from 1 species